AAAAAGUUAUCAUCUUCAGU
rnacentral:misc_RNA from 1 species